rnacentral:rRNA from 1 species
CGGACGGGUGAGUAAUGUCUGGGAAAACUGCCUGAUGGAGGGGGAUAACUACUGGAAACGGUAGCUAAUACCGCAUAACGUCGCAAGACCAAAGAGGGGGACCUUAGGGCCUCUUGCCAUCGGAUGUGCCCAGAUGGGAUUAGCUAGUAGGUGGGGUAACGGCUCACCUAGGCGACGAUCCCUAGCUGGUCUGAGAGGAUGACCAGCCACACUGGAACUGAGACACGGUCCAG